rnacentral:rRNA from 1 species
UACGGGGGGGGCAAGCGUUGUUCGGAAUUACUGGGCGUAAAGGGCUCGUAGGUUGCCAACUAAGUCAGACGUGAAAUCCCUCGGCUUAACCGGGGAACUGCGUCUGAUACUGGAUGGCUUGAGUUCGGGAGAGGGAUGCGGAAUUCCAGGUGUAGCGGUGAAAUGCGUAGAUAUCUGGAGGAACACCGGUGGCGAAGGCGGCAUCCUGGACCGACACUGACGCUGAGGAGCGAAAGCCAGGGGAGCAAACGGG